UACGUAGGGGGCUAGCGUUGUCCGGAUUUAUUGGGCGUAAAGAGCGUGUAGGCGGCCAGGUAGGUCUGCUGUGAAAACUCGAGGCUUAACCUCGAGAUGUCGGCGGAAACCAUCUGGCUAGAGUCCGGAAGAGGAGAGUGGAAUUCCUGGUGUAGCGGUGAAAUGCGCAGAUAUCAGGAAGAACACCCGUGGCGAAGGCGGCUCUCUGGGCCGGUACUGACGCUGAGACGCGAAAGCGUGGGGAGCGAACAGG
rnacentral:rRNA from 1 species